rnacentral:misc_RNA from 1 species
GAUGAAGAACGCAGUGAAAUGCGAUAAGUAAUGUGAAUUGCAGAAUUCAGUGAAUCAUCGAAUCUUUGAACGCACAUUGCGCCCCCCAGUAUUCUGGCGGGCAUGCCUGUUCGAGCGUCAUUUCAACCAUCAAGCCCUGCUUGUGUUGGGGUCCUGCGGCUGCCCGCAGGCCCUGAAAACCAGUGGCGGGCUCGCUAGUCACACCGAGCGCAGUAGCACAUCUCGCUCAGGGCGUGCGGCGGGCUCCAGCCGUUAAAGCACCCACCUUUCGCAAGGUUGACCUCGGAUCAGGUAGGAAGACCCGCUGAACUUAAGCAUAUCAAUAAGCGGAGGA